AUGAGGUCCUCCAAGACUAAUGGGAGCGUGCAGAAGGCAGGGAGAGUUAGCCAUGCCCAGGGAGAAGGGCCGAGCUGGGUUCUUGUCGCGGGAGGAGUUCUGGUUAGCACGCUCUCGGUCAGACUUGGAUGCAAGCUGAAGCAGAUGUUUGAUACCAAGAAGCAAAAUAGUACAUCCAGAGCCAAAAGAAGACCUGGAGCUUGUGAACUACACUCCAAUCUGUACCGGUUUGAUGAUGAAACCAAUUGCUACUGCUGUGUCUCAGAUGGUGGAGUGGAAAUCAAGCAAGCACCUGCAAGUUCUUUAUCGAAACCUGAUGAACCCUCCCUUCCUCUUGCAAAGAUACCAGGGCCAGAAUCAAGCAAAGAGAACAGUGGCGUCAUGUGGACGUCAUCGCCUGACCGGCUUGAAGAUCAUCGCAGACCAUUGCAGUACUCAAACAGUUCUGGCUCUCCCUGUGUUUCAGAAUCAGGAUCUGACAUUUAUAUCAAGAGAGAGGUCAUACAGAAGUUGAGACAGCACCUCAGGAGACGUGAUGAGAUGAUCAUGGAGAUGCAAGCACAGAUAGCUGAUCUUAAGAACUCUCUCAGCAUCGAGGAGACGCAGACCGCCAAUUUGCAGUCCCAGCUGGAUGGUGCCAAUCGAGAUCUGUUCGAAUCCGACAGGGAGAUCCAGCAGCUAAGGAAGAUCAUCGCAGAUCAUUGUGUGGCUGAAGCACUCUCCCGCGACAAGCCCUUGCAAGCUGGAAACUGGCAACCAGAUGCCGCCAAUGGGCAUGCUAAUGGCUAUGCUGAUAGCAGCAUCGAUGACCCUGAGCUGCACUGUAUUGGUAUUGAGAAGAGGAACGGCGAGGCAGAGAGGGUGGAGAUGCUCAAGAGAGAGGUCGGCGAGCUGAAGGAGGUCAUCGAAGGGAAGGACUUCCUGCUCCAGAGCUACAAGGAGCAGAAGGUGGAGCUCUGCUCGAAGAUGAGAGAGCUGCAGGAAAGGCUCUCGGCACAGGUGCCCAACAUCUUGUAG
rnacentral:rRNA from 1 species